rnacentral:rRNA from 1 species
UACGAAGGGGGCUAGCGUUGCUCGGAAUCACUGGGCGUAAAGCGCACGUAGGCGGGUCUUUAAGUCAGGGGUGAAAUCCUGGAGCUCAACUCCAGAACUGCCCUCGAUACUGGCGAUCUUGGAGUCCGGGAGAGGUGAGUGGAACUCCGAGUGUAGAGGUGAAAUUCGUAGAUAUUCGGAAGAACACCAGUGGCGAAGGCGGCUCACUGGCCCGGUACUGACGCUGAGGUGCGAAAGCGUGGGGAGCAAACAGG